rnacentral:misc_RNA from 1 species
GAUGAAGAACGCAGCGAAAUGCGAUAGUAAUGUGAAUUGCAGAAUUCAGUGAAUCAUCGAAUCUUUGAACGCACAUUGCGCCCGUCAGUAUUCUGGCGGGCAUGCCUGUUCGAGCGUCAUUACGCCCCUCAAGUCCCCUGUGGACUUGGUGUUGGGGAUCGGCGAGGCUGGUUUUCCAGCACAGCCGUCCCUUAAAUUAAUUGGCGGUCUCGCCGUGGCCCUCCUCUGCGCAGUAGUAAAACACUCGCAACAGGAGCCCGGCGCGGUCCACUGCCGUAAAACCCCCCAACUUUUUAUAGUUGACCUCGAAUCAGGUAGGACUACCCGCUGAACUUAAGCAUAUCAAUAAGCGGAGGA